rnacentral:lncRNA from 1 species
ACAGUUCAAACUGAGGUUGAACCAGAAUAAGUGCACUUUCAGAGUGCGGGCCGGUAAGCUGCUUGGGGUUCAUUGUAAGAGAGUAAUCGAGGUUGAUCCUGCAAAAAAAAAAAAAAAAAAAAGAAAAUAAAAAUAGAAAGAAAAGCAAUAAGAGAAAUGCCUGAACCGAGAAUAGAAAAAGAGGUUCGUGGUCUAUUAGGUAGAUUGAACUACAUGUCAUGGUUCACAUCUCC